UACGUAGGUGGCAAGCGUUGUCCGGAUUUACUGGGCGUAAAGAGCGCGCAGGCGGUCGUUCAAGUCGCGUGUGAAAGCCCCCGGCUCAACUGGGGAGGGUCACGCGAUACUGAUCGACUCGAAGGCAGGAGAAGGUAGUGGAAUUCCCGGUGUAGUGGUGAAAUGCGCAGAUAUCAGGAGGAACACCAAUGGCGAAGGCAGCUCGCUGGAACGGUACUGACGCUGAGGCGCGAAAGCGUGGGGAGCAAACAGG
rnacentral:rRNA from 1 species